UACGAAGGGGGCUAGCGUUGCUCGGAAUCACUGGGCGUAAAGGGCGCGUAGGCGGCGUUUUUAAGUCGGGGGUGAAAUCCUGGAGCUCAACUCCAGAACUGCCUUUGAUACUGAAGAUCUUGAGUUCGGGAGAGGUGAGUGGAACUGCGAGUGUAGAGGUGAAAUUCGUAGAUAUUCGCAAGAACACCAGUGGCGAAGGCGGCUCACUGGCCCGAUACUGACGCUGAGGCACGAAAGCGUGGGGAGCAAACAGG
rnacentral:rRNA from 1 species